CAUCUAAGUACCUGCGGGAAAAGAAAGAAAACUCGACUCCCAUAGUAGCGGCGAGCGAACUGGGAUCAGCCUAAACCAAUGCAGUGCCAAGGUUACGGCCAUUGCUGCAUCGGUGUCGUGGGACCUACCGGGCCAGCCGUAAGAGGCCCAGGGAGUUACAAAGUAUCAAGAUAGCAGAACGGCAUGGAAAGGCCGGCCGCAGUGGGUGAGAGCCCCGUAUGCGAAAUCUUCGAUGCCUCCCGUAGUCAUCCCGAGUAGCACCAGACACGAGAAACCUGGUGUGAAUCUGGGGGGACCACCCCCUAAGGCUAAGUACUACUGGACGACCGAUAGCGUAAUAGUAGCGCGAGCGAAAGGUGAAAAGUACCCCGACGAGGGGAGUGAAAUAGUACCUGAAACCAUGAACUUACAAGCUGUCGGAGGCCUAUGGCUCCUCGGAGCAAUGGCUGACGGCGUGCCUUUUGCAUAAUGAUCCGGCGAGUUACUCUGUCUGGCGAGGUUAAGGACUUACGGUCUGGAGCCGAAGGGAAACCGAGUGUGAAUAGCGCGAUUACAGUCAGGCGGAGUAGACCCGAAAGCGAGUGAUCUAUCCAUGGGCAGGGUGAAGCGGAUGUAACAGUUCGUGGAGGCCCGAACCAUUGUAGGUUGAAAACUGCUUGGAUGACCUGUGGAUAGGAGUGAAAGGCUAAUCAAACUCGCAGAUAGCUGGUUCUCCCCGAAAUAGCUUUUGGGCUAGCCUCUAGUGAUAGUUAACGGGGGUAGAGCUACUGAUUGGGAUAGGGGCCACACCCGGUACCCUACCCUGUCAAACUCCGAAUACCGUUAACCGUAUCUAGGGAGUCAGACUAUGGGCGAUAAGGUCCGUGGUCGAGAGGGAAACAACCCAGACCACCGGCUAAGGUCCCGAAUACACACUAAGUGCAGAAAAGGAGGUGGGACUUCUACAACAGCCAGGAUGUUGGCUUAGAAGCAGCCAUCAUUUAAAGAGUGCGUAACAGCUCACUGGUCGAGAAGUCCUGCGCCGAAAAUGAACGGGGCUCAAGUGUGUAACCGAAGCCGUGGCUUGCAUGAUUUCGUUGAUUUCAUGCAGGGGUAGGGGAGCGUUCCAAGUGGGUGAAGCGUGACGGUGACGACACGUGGACGCUUUGGAAGUGAUAAUGCCGGAAUGAGUAACGAGAAAGCAGGUGAGAAUCCUGCUCGCCGAAAACCUAAGGUUUCCUGGGCACGGUAAAUCCGCCCAGGGUUAGUCGGACCCUAAGUCGAGGCUGAAAGGCGUAGACGAUGGACAACAGGUUAAUAUUCCUGUACCACCACAGACGCGUUUGACCGAUGGGGGGACGCGGAAGGAAGCGUGAUCGCACUGACCGAAUAGUGCGUACAAGCGUGAGGCCGGCGCAUAGGAAAAUCCGUGCGCGUAAAGCCAGGCGUGAUGUCGAGCUCAUUUGAGCGAAGUCACAGGACUGACCGCCGAGAAAAUCCUCUAGGGAGUUUCUGUGGUGUCCGUACCUAAACUGACACAGGUGGGUGAGGUGAGAAUCCUAAGGCGCUCGAGAGAACCNUUGUGAAGGAACUCGGCAAAUUGACCCCGUAACUUCGGGAUAAGGGGUGCCCUUGGAGGUGUAGGUCUUUUCGACCGAAGCUUUUAAGGGCCGCAGAGAAUUGGCCCGUGCGACUGUUUACUAAAAACACAGGUCUGUGCUAAGUCUUAAAGACGCUGUAUACAGACUGACGCCUGCCCAAUGCCGGAAGGUUAAGAGGAGGGGUUAGCUUCGGCGAAGCUCUGAAUUGAAGCCCCGGUGAAUGGCGGCCGUAACUAUGACGGUCCUAAGGUAGCGAAGUUCCUUGUCGGGUAAGUUCCGACCCGCACGAAAGGCGUAACGAUACGGGCACUGUCUCCACAACGGGCUCGGUGAAAUUGUAGUCGUGGUGAAGAUGCCACGUUCCCGCGUCAAGACGGAAAGACCCCGUGAACCUUUACUGUAGCCUGAUAUUGAGGCUAGUCAUGUAGUGCGUAGCAUAGGUGGGAGACGUUGAAGCCUGGCUUUCGGGUCGGGUGGAGUCACAAUGUGAAAUACCACUCUCUGCAUGGUUGGUCCCUAACACGGUGCCUUGAAUCAGGGCCGUGAACAGUGUCAGGUGGGCAGUUUGGCUGGGGCGGUCUCCUCCUAAAGAGUAACGGAGGAGCGCGAUGGUGCAUUCAGCACGGUUAGCAAUCGUGCGUAGAGCGUAAGGGUAUAAGUGCGCCUGACUGCAAGAGAUAUAGCUCGAGCAGAUACGAAAGUAGGUCCUAGUGAUCCGGCGGAUUCCGAGUGGAAGGGCCGUCGCUCAUCAGAUAAAAGGUACUCCGGGGAUAACAGGCUGAUCUCCCCCAAGAGUCCAUAUCGACGGGGAGGUUUGGCACCUCGAUGUCGGCUCAUC
rnacentral:rRNA from 1 species